rnacentral:rRNA from 1 species
GACGAACGCUGGCGGCGUGCCUAAUACAUGCAAGUCGAGCGGACUGAAUGGGAGCUUGCUCUUGUUCGGUCAGCGGCGGACGGGUGAGUAACACGUGGGCAACCUGCCCGCAAGACCGGGAUAACUCCGGGAAACCGGAGCUAAUACCGGAUAACACCGAAGACCGCAUGGUAUUUGGUUGAAAGGCGGCGCAAGCUGCCACUUGCGGAUGGGCCCGCGGCGCAUUAGCUAGUUGGUGAGGUAACGGCUCACCAAGGCGACGAUGCGUAGCCGGCCUGAGAGGGUGACCGGCCACACUGGGACUGAGACACGGCCCAGACUCCUACGGGAGGCAGCAGUAGGGAAUCUUCCGCAAUGGGCGAAAGCCUGACGGAGCGACGCCGCGUGAGCGAAGAAGGCCUUCGGGUCGGAAAGCUCUGUUGUGAGGGACGAAGGAGCGCCGUUUGAAGAAGGCGGCGCGGUGACGGUACCUCAAGAGGAAGCCCCGGCUAACUACGUG